GGAAGGGAACGACAAGAUAAUAAAAGGAGGCUCUGGGAGACACUAAAACCUGGAUGAGGCUGCGCUGGACUUCCUUACAUAGAUCCUGUGGACAAGAGUACCAACUGCUGACAGUUGCAACCUUGACAAUGAUCAUGUCUGGUGACUGCUGAUCCAGGCUCUUAGCUGCCUGCAGCUGGAAUAUUUACAUGUGCUUUCUCCUUGUGGCUCGUGAAUGCCUCCCAACAUGGAAGGACAACCCGUCCCCAGCCCCAGGAAGAAAAUGUGGAUCGCCUUAAACCCCAGCCAGGUCUCUUCAUUCCCUUCGCUUGUGCCUGGUUUGGAAGGUCCAUUUGCUAAAACAGAGCAAGUUUGCUGAGGCUUCUUGGAGAGAUCACCCUCCCUCAUGUAGAGACUCUGAAAAGAACCUGUCCUGCAGGAUUUUGUCUGUGAUAAUGACAGGACCUGAAGCUUAAGCCACCUCAGCCUUCGUGUUACUCACGGGGAAGAUUCAGGAAACUUCAGAGACCUGACUUUGUUAAGCCACUGA